rnacentral:rRNA from 1 species
AUUGAACGCUGGCGGCAUGCUUUACACAUGCAAGUCGAACGGUAACAGGCCGCAAGGUGCUGACGAGUGGCGAACGGGUGAGUAAUGCAUCGGAACGUGCCCAGUCGUGGGGGAUAACUACUCGAAAGAGUAGCUAAUACCGCAUACGAUCUAUGGAUGAAAGCGGGGACCGUAAGGCCUCGCGCGAUUGGGGCGGCCGAUGUCAGAUUUGGUAGUUGGUGGGGUAAAGGCUCACCAAGCCAACGAUCUGUAGCUGGUCUGAGAGGACGACCAGCCACACUGGGACUGAGACACGGCCCAGACUCCUACGGGAGGCAGCAGUGGGGAAUUUUGGACAAUGGGCGCAAGCCUGAUCCAGCAAUGCCGCGUGCAGGAAGAAGGCCUUCGGGUUGUAAACUGCUUUUGUACGGAACGAAACGGCUCUGGUUAAUACCCGGGGCUAAUGACGGUACCGUAAGAAUAAGCACCGGCUAACUACGUG